GGAAGUAAAAGUCGUAACAAGGUCUCCGUAGGUGAACCUGCGGAGGGAUCAUUACACAAUUAAAAUAUGAAGGCUUCGGCUGGAUUAUUUUUAUCACCCUUGUCUUUUGCGCACUUGUUGUUUCCUGGGCGGGUUCGCCCGCCACCAGGACCACACCAAUAAACCUUUUUUAUGCAGUUGCAAUCAGCGUCAGUAUAACAAAUGUAAAUCAUUUACAACUUUCAACAACGGAUCUCUUGGUUCUGGCAUCGAUGAAGAACGCAGCGAAAUGCGAUACGUAGUGUGAAUUGCAGAAUUCAAGUGAAUCAUCGAAUCUUUGAACGCACAUUGCGCCCUUUGGUAUUCCAAAGGGCAUGCCUGUUCGAGCGUUCAUUUGUACCCUCAAGCUUUGCUUGGUGUUGGGCGUCUUUUGUCUUUGGCCUCGCCCAAAGACUCGCCUUAAAACGAUUGGCAGCCGGCCUACUGGUUUCGCAGCGCAGCACAUUUUUGCGCUUGCAAUCAGCACAAGGACGGCAAUCCAUCAAGACUACAUUUUUACGUUUGACCUCGGAUCAGGUAGGGAUACCCGCUGAACUUAAGCAUAUCAAUAAGCGGAGGA
rnacentral:rRNA from 1 species